rnacentral:rRNA from 1 species
GACGAACGCUGGCGGCGUGCUUAACACAUGCAAGUCGAGCGGAGCGGCGAACGGGUGAGGAACGCGAGAGGAACUGCACCCCUCUCUGGGAUAACAGUUGGAAACGGCGGCUAAUACCGGAAAGUGGGGGAUGACUCGCGUCCUAUCAGCUUGUUGGUGGGGUAGUGGCCUACCAAGGCGACGACGGGUAGACGGCCUGAGAGGGCGACCGGCCACAUUGGGCUGAGAUACGGCCCAAACUCCUACGGGAGGCAGCAGUGGGGAAUAUUGCACAAUAGGUGAAACCCUGAUGCAGCGACGCCGCGUGCUGGAUGACUGCCUUCGGGUUGUAACCCGCUUUCAGCCAUGACGCGGUAGUGGCAGAAGAAGCACCGGCUAACUACGUGCCAGCAGCCGCGGUAAUAC